rnacentral:rRNA from 1 species
CGGAGGGGCUAGCGUUGUUCGGAAUUACUGGGGCGUAAAGCGCACGUAGGCGGCUUUUUAAGUCAGAGGUGAAAGCCCGGGGCUCAACUCCGGAACUGCCUUUGAGACUGGGAGGCUUGAAUCACGGAGAGGUGGGUGGAAUUCCGAGUGUAGAGGUGAAAUUCGUAGAUAUUCGGAAGAACACCAGUGGCGAAGGCGGCCCACUGGACGUGUAUUGACGCUGAGGUGCGAAAGCGUGGGGGAGCAAACAGGAUU